AUUGAACGCUGGCGGCAUGCCUUACACAUGCAAGUCGAACGGCAGCACGGGAGCAAUCCUGGUGGCGAGUGGCGAACGGGUGAGUAAUAUAUCGGAACGUGCCCAGUCGUGGGGAUAACGUAGCGAAAGCUACGCUAAUACCGCAUACGAUCUACGGAUGAAAGCGGGGGAUCGCAAGACCUCGCGCGUUUGGAGCGGCCGAUAUCAGAUUAGGUAGUUGGUGAGGUAAAGGCUCACCAAGCCGACGAUCUGUAGCUGGUCUGAGAGGACGACCAGCCACACUGGGACUGAGACACGGCCCAGACUCCUACGGGAGGCAGCAGUGGGGAAUUUUGGACAAUGGGCGGCAAGCCUGAUCCAGCAAUGCCGCGUGCAGGAUGAAGGCCUUCGGUUGGUUAAACGUUA
rnacentral:rRNA from 1 species